UGGUUCUGGCAUCGAUGAAGAACGCAGCGAAAUGCGAUAAGUAAUGCGAAUUGCAGAAUCCGUGAGUCAUCGAAUCUUUGAACGCAUAUUGCGCCCCCUGGUAUGCCUAGGGGCAUGCCUGUUCGAGCGUCAUUAUCACCCCUCAAGCUUCUGGCUUGGUGUUGGACCUGUAGUUAUGGCCUGUCCCUAACUGGUCCCAAAGAUAGUGACGGCGUCCCAGAGGGAACCGGUACGAGGAGCUUUUUUAAGCAUGUACGGGGAAGACUCUGUGGGCGACGGUCUUUUAUAAUUUUUUAAGUGUUGACCUCGGAUCAGGUAGGAAUACCCGCUGA
rnacentral:misc_RNA from 1 species